AUUGAACGCUGGCGGCAGGCUUAACACAUGCAAGUCGAGCGGGGGAAGGUGCUUCGGUACUGACCUUAGCGGCGGACGGGUGAGUAAUGCUUAGGAAUCUGCCUAUUAGUGGGGGACAACAUCUCGAAAGGGAUGCUAAUACCGCAUACGUCCUACGAGAGAAAGCAGGGGAUCACUUGUGACCUUGCGCUAAUAGAUGAGCCUAAGUCGGAUUAGCUAGUUGGUGGGGUAAAGGCCUACCAAGGCGACGAUCUGUAGCGGGUCUGAGAGGAUGAUCCGCCACACUGGGACUGAGACACGGCCCAGACUCCUACGGGAGGCAGCAGUGGGGAAUAUUGGACAAUGGGGGGAACCCUGAUCCAGCCAUGCCGCGUGUGUGAAGAAGGCCUUAUGGUUGUAAAGCACUUUAAGCGAGGAGGAGGCUAUCUUAGUUAAUACCUAGGAAUAGUGGACGUUACUCGCAGAAUAAGCACCGGCUAACUCUGUGCCAGCAGCCGCGGUAAGAC
rnacentral:rRNA from 1 species